rnacentral:rRNA from 1 species
CCCCAGACUCCUACGGGAGGCAGCAGUGGGGGAUAUUGCACAAUGGGGGGAACCCUGAUGCAGCGACGCCGCGUGGGUGAAGGAGCGUUUCGGCGCGUAAAGCCCUCUCGGCAGGGAAGAAGGAGGACGGUACCUGACUAAGAAGCCCCGGCUAACUACGUGCCAGCAGCCGCGGGAAUACGUAGGGGGCAAGCGUUAUCCGGAUUUACUGGGUGUAAAGGGGGCGCAGACGGCAGCGCAAGCCUGGAGUGAAAGCCCGGGGCCCAACCCCGGGACUGCUCUGGGAACUGUGCGGCUGGAGUGCGGGAGGGGCAGGCGGAAUUCCUGGUGUAGCGGUGAAAUGCGUAGAUAUCAGGAGGAACACCGGCGGCGAAGGCGGCCUGCUGGACCGCGACUGACGUUGAGGCUCGAAAGCGUGGGGAGCAAACAGGAUUAGAUACCCGCGUA